UACGGAAUGUGCAAACGUUAUUCGGAAUCACUGGGCUUAAAGAGUCCGUAGGCGGCCUGUUAGGUGAGGUGUGAAAUCCCCCGGCUCAACCGAGGAAUUGCGCUUCAAACCGGCAGGCUAGAGGAGGAUAGAGGUGGGCGGAACUGAUGGUGGAGCGGUGAAAUGCGUUGAUAUCAUCAGGAACACCGGUGGCGAAGGCGGCUCACUGGCCCGGUACUGACGCUGAGGUGCGAAAGCGUGGGGAGCAAACAGG
rnacentral:rRNA from 1 species